AGUGUUGUGGCUUAAUGGUAGAGGGCUUGCCUAGCAUGCAUGAAGCACUGGGUUUGGUCCCCAGCAUCACAU
rnacentral:tRNA from 1 species